GAUCAGGCCUGUGGUUUUUGUUUUUUUUUAAAAAAAACUCUAGCUCAUUGGGUCUCGGCAUCACAUUUAUCAACGAAGCACGUGACGAAUUGACUCGCCGGGCAUGGUUGAACUCUCCUGAUGACCUGCUAAUCUUUGUCCCGAAUCUCGCCCCAACGUUGGCCAAUGCUGCUGCUGCCGCCUGCCCAGCAUCUUACUCAAGCGAUGGCUCCCAUACAAGUUGGACCUGGCGCUUGUAGCCCUUCACUAGGGCCGGAAAACGCUGGACAAAAGGAGCAACUGAGUGCCAGGGAGGGGCUGCUCCACUCUGUCGGCUCGCCCUGCUCCAGGUCACCUUUCUCCCUGGGCCACUGAGACCUCCUCGGGGGCUCCCGGGACAAGGGGGUAGGGGGCUACUGGCUUCCUCCUGGUGGCCUUGUUGGUCAGGGAAGUCUGGGGCAGAAUGCCUCACACUGGCUUCCUGUGGCAGUGGCCAUGGAGCCAAGCAGCAGUCCUGUAAAUCUUAUUAGAAAGGCUCACCCAGGGAGCUUUGGUGGAAAUUGGCCUCCUGCCAGUGGUUUCCCGGUGUGGGAUUCUGGUGCUGGGGCAGCUGGAUUCACUAUCCGACUCCAUGGAGGCUACCUGUCUUUUGGAGGCCUGGCAUUUCUUAGAAGUCUGGUUGGGCCUUGGCUUUUCUCUUUCCCCCUCUGCUGGGCAGGUCACAUGCAGACUCCUCAAAGGAUCUGUAUCUGGCAGCCAGGCAGCCUCCCUCCCCAGGGCAGCCUCCCGGGAUUACUGUAACUAUGGUGACAAUGAUGUGGUGUGUGGCCCCGGUACCUGGAAUCCGCUGCUGCUGGGGAGAAAACCUGACCUGAUCAGUCCCUACUUUACACAGAUGGCUGCCAACACCGCCCCUCUCUCACAUCUGUUUCUGGAUGAAGCCCUUUUAAGGACUUGGCAUUGAAUACCCAAUCCGGACCCAUUGCCUCUCAGGGUCCCCUCCCGAAGGGAUGUUGGCUGUUAGGGAGCCUCAGGGAGCCUGUGGCGGCAGCAGACUUGAAAUCAAGUCUCCUCCAUUCCCAGGGAGAUGGUUGAACCCCUAAAGGAAUGUGCUCAGUUCCCUCUGUUCCCUCUCCCCUCCACAAGGCAGGAAUCAUUUCUUAAGGCCUGUCCCUUCGGAGGCAUGAACGGACAUGGUUUUCCCAUGUUGUGGGAGAAAAUAUAUGCUAAUGUAAAUCUGUCAGGAACCCCUCCCGUGAAGCCCUGGUUGCUCAUAGAGUUAAUACUGAUAUUGCCCACUGAAACGUUGGGGUUCCACGAGCCACUUCAUAAAAGCAGGUUAUGCCCAUUUCCUUUGGUAAGGCUAACAGCCUUGGAAAUCCUAAGUAGCAGAUCCCUGUGCAGGUCCCCAUGAGUCAGACCUGAUGGCACUGGGUUGGUUUUUGAUUUAAGAAUUGCUGCUCCCUUGGCAGUUCUGCUUGGACCCCAUGCAUAAUGACGGAACACCAGCCUCCAGAGACUUUCGUCUCCUUGAGAGAAAGGCAAAGGUUCAGCAUGACCUGGACGUUCCAGGCAGGGGUGACUGGAGGAGGCGCCGCACCUCAGCCCCACUGCCUGGGACGUGGUGUCCACAGGUCCCCAGUCUUUCCUAGGGUGACACCUCACUGUCAACAGUGAGUAGGUUCACUAGGGGCCCCUGAAGGGAUCUCAGACCCUCAGGACCACUUCUGGGGAGUUUCUGAAUAGGAGUAGGCAAGCCCAAUAGGGGUGGUUGUCACUCAGGUGGGCUGUCUGUACUCAUACCUCAUGUACAGGUGCCGGGCAUGGGUCCACUUAGUCUUUUGCCUUUCCAGAAUUCAGAGGUCAUAUUGAUAUUCACAGAAAACCCAGGUAGGACAUUCUCUACGAACCAACCAAAGGAUCUGGUAUCUCAAAAGGAAAUGGUAGGGAAGUUUCGCUGUCACUACCAUGGACACAGAGAAGCUCUCUCAGGAGGGGAGGGAACAGAGAGGCACCCUGGGUGGUCCUCAAACCUGGCCCUCUGCACCCUUGUCCUUAUCAAGUAGCCACUCCCUGUGGCGCUUAGCUGAGGGACUGCCUGUGGCGCUUAGCCGAGGGGCUUCCUGUGGCACUUAGCUGAGGGGCUGGCCCAGGAGGGCAAGAAAAACCCAGACUCUGAGAUGGCCUGAGCUAAGGAGGGAAAUGGCACUGACCCCCAAUGUUCAGCAGUUGGAGAGGCAUUUGGGUGUGUGUGUGAGAGAGAGAGAGAGCUUCCUGUUGGGACUUCAGAUUUAUGGCUGAUAGAUGUGAGGCCCAGCUGAUGACAUUUAAGGGGACGCUGAGAGGGCAGGAUGAGUGUUGUGAAUGAAUUCACAGAGUGGCUCAUUUGAACAGGACAUUCAGUACAAAUCAGCUGGCAACCUUAGUCCCCACCUGCCUCGAAAAGACAAACAGUAGCACCCCCGCCCCUGCCCCGGUCACCCCGGUCACCAGGAAAGGAUGAGAUGGGAGUUGGAGCUGGACAUCGGCCCAGGCAAGGAAAUGGGCAGCUGUGAUGAGCACUACUGAGACAGGAAGACGGGGACCACCGUGUUCCCAGCCUGCUCUCAGGUCCUCACGAUGGGACUCCACUGGAGGCAGCCUUUGGCUCAGUGUGGCCAAGGACUUCCUGGUCCUGUGCGCUGUCUGUAGACCAAAUUGUGGUCUCUGGAGAGCCCUUUGUGCUGGGCUCACCCAGUGAUGGGGGGCAUAUGCUGACUGGGGCUGGAGCAGAGAGCCUGUGCCCAGGAUGCCGAGGCCGCUUGCAUUAUUUGAGAGAUUGGCCUAGCCUGGCUGAGAACCACAACAAUUUCUCUCUACUGCCCAAGUCCCUUGAAUUAAUGUGGAGGCCAUUACGAUGGGGUCGUCAGGUGUAAUUAGAACAGUCUGCUUGUGGGGGCUGGUAGGAAGUGGUAUGAUGGGGAAGGUUUGUCCUGGCCUGUGGGAGCAUCUCUCUGACCUGGUCGGAUACGGCUAUCUCACCAGAACCUGGGUGUGAUGUCAGCGAAGGCAGCACACAAUGGGCAAAUAGAUUAUCAACUUGAAAGGGCCUGAGGACCACCUGGGAGAGUACAGGAAUAGGGGUUCCAGGAAAGGUGCUCAGAGGCAAACAGCAAGCAAACUCACAGCCGUGGGUUUCAUGCUGACUCACAGGGACCCUACAGGAUCGGGUAGAGCUGCCCCUGUGGAUUUCUGAGGCUGUAGUUGUGUAUGGCAGUGGAAAGUCCUGCCUUUCUCUCAGGGAGGCUGGUGGUUUCAAACGACGAACCCUGCAGUCAGCAACCCAAGGAGUCACCAUUCUACCCCCUGGGCUCAGCACUUCCUGUGAUCUGGAGUCAGGUGCAGGAUUAUACGUUACAAAGGGAUUCAGAGCUUGGGCAGUUUUGUGGCAGUGCUUGUUGCAUCGAAUGACCAAGCGAUUGGUCUCACUCGAGAUGUUCUAGAGAGUCAGAGAUGAAUGCCAGGCAGCAGAUGGACAGGCUUGUGUCAGGAGCCCAGAGCUGCAGGCAUGGCCGUUGAGGAGGGUUGACAUUCUGGUGUCAAAUGCAUACGCUAUUGUGGAAAACAGCAUGGGGAGGGGCUUUCCUGCUUCACAGGUCCCCCUAUUAUCGCCCUUUCUGUAGUGCAGGGGACCCAGACUUUAUUGUUUAAUAAUCCUGGUGUGCUGCCUCCGCAAACCAACCAACCAACCAGGCUCUUGAGAGGACAUUACAAUUCCACCUCUAGGUGUAUCCCUAAAAUUGACAACCGGGGGUCAAACAUGUGAAUGUUCAGGUAGUGCUAUUCAAGAGUCAGUGAACCCAGGGUCUCUGUGGAGGAAUGGAGGCUACCGUGCGGUGGAAGUUCUUAGUAUGGCUUUUUCAUUCACAGUCCAUCUUUGAUGUAUUCUAAAUGACAGCCUCUAUGCCCAGGGUUACAAUCCCACUGUGGAGGGAGUUCUCUUAUGCUAAUGAGCAGGAGGAAGGUGGGGUGUAUUCUGAGUCUCAAAUUGACUAGAGGGAUGAACCAAGUCACCACCCUGAGCAUCCUUCAUGGUGAGUGACACACAGGCUAGCUUGUGGCAGUUACAUAAUCUCCUGUCAACUUGAGUGAAGGGGUAGGGUCUAGCCUGUCAAUCAGGUCAUAGCC